rnacentral:misc_RNA from 1 species
GAUGAAGAACGUAGCGAAAUGCGAUAAGUAAUGUGAAUUGCAGAAUUCAGUGAAUCAUCGAAUCUUUGAACGCACAUUGCGCCCGUCAGUAUUCUGGCGGGCAUGCCUGUUCGAGCGUCAUUACGCCCCUCAAGUCCCCUGUGGACUUGGUGUUGGGGAUCGGCGAGGCUGGUUUUCCAGCACAGCCGUCCCUUAAAUUAAUUGGCGGUCUCGCCGUGGCCCUCCUCUGCGCAGUAGUAAAACACUCGCAACAGGAGCCCGGCGCGGUCCACUGCCGUAAAACCCCCCAACUUUUUAUAGUUGACCUCAAAUCAGGUAGGACUACCCGCUGAACUUAAGCAUAUCAAUAAGCGGAGGA